rnacentral:rRNA from 1 species
UUGAUCCUGGCUCAGAAUGAACGCUGGCGGCGUGCCUAAGACAUGCAAGUCGUACGAGAAAGCACUUUCGGGUGUUAGUAGAGUGGCGCACGGGUGAGUAAGACUUAGGUAACCUACCCUUUCGCUGGGGAUAACCAGAAGAAAUUCUGGCUAAUACCGAAUAAUCCAUAUUUUACUGCGGUUUAAUAUGGUAAAGCCUUCAGGCGCGAUUGGACGGGCCUGAGCCCCAUUAGCUUGUUGGUAAGGUAAUGGCUUACCAAGGCUACGAUGGGUAGCUGGUUUGAGAGGAUGAUCAGCCACACUGGUACUGGAAUACGGACCAGACUCCUACGGGAGGCAGCAGUUAGGAAUAUUGCGCAAUGGGGGAAACCCUGACGCAGCAACGCCGCGUGAGUGAUGAAGGUUUUCGGAUCGUAAAGCUCUUUUAGUAGGGAAGAAAAAAAUGACGGUACCUACAGAAAAAGCACCGGCUAACUCCGUGCCAGCAGCCGCGGUAAUACGGAGGGUGCGAGCGUUAUUCGGAUUUAUUGGGCGUAAAGCGCGCGUAGGCGGUUUGGAUAGUCUGCUGUGAAAGCCCACGACUCAAUCGUGGAACUGCAGUGGAUACUACCAGACUAGAGUACUGGAGAGGAGAACGGAAUUCCUGGUGUAGAGGUGAAAUUCGUAGAUAUCAGGAGGAACAACGAUGGCGAAGGCAGUUCUCUGGACAGUAACUGACGCUGAGGUGCGAAAGCGUGGGGAGCAAACGGGAUUAGAUACCCCGGUAGU